rnacentral:lncRNA from 1 species
GGAGGCGGCGUUCAGAAAUAGGGCGCUGGCUUUGCCAGGAGCGGCUCCUCUCCAAGCCUGGCGGUCACUGCCCUGUGUCCCCUUUUGGGCCUCUCCUGGUCCUCCUGGUUGGAUUAGGAGGCCUCUCAGCCCGGAGUCUGGGUCGCCGAAGUACAGGCCCCUUCACUGAAGCGACCCACGGCGCAGGGGUUUCUGGAAGCCAUCGCCAGGCUCCGAGUGUUCAGAUGCAGCUGCCAGGCUCAGGACGCAGAGAACUGGCUUCCAGCUCGCAGGAGCGCCUGUCCGUGGAAGAGAUACCACGGUGUGCAGGCACAGGGAAAAGACCACGUGAGGACACAGAGAGAAGACGGCCGUCUGCAAGCCAAGGAGAGAGGCCUCAGGUGAAACCAAACCUGCAGGCACCUUGAUCUUGGACUUCCAGCCUCCAGAAGCUUGAGAAAAGAAAUUUCUGUUGUUUAAGACACCCAUUCUGUGGUAUUUGUUCUGGCAGCCCUAACAAACUAAUAUAGGGAUCUAAAGAUUCCUUGUCUUCAUUUUGAGUAAGAGACUAUAAACUCAGAACUGUGGAGAUCUAGUUAGGUAUUGUACAGCUAGCCUCAUUCUGUCUUAAACUCCAGGUAAAAGAGAAAAAUAUGGAGACAGCCCCUGACUUUGGAGAACUUGCAGUUUUGUGGAGGUGAAAGGAGGCAGCCACAAGAAAAACCCCUGACAUCAAUUCAAAACUAUAAAUAACAAAGACUAACUUGUUCUAUGCACAACAGGUACUACAGCACUGUCCAACAUGGGGACAUGUGAGUGGCCUGAAGCAGCACAAGAACUGGGCAAUAAACUUGAGAUGAACCUCAAAGCAUCAAUAUUAUUCAUGACUAAACUGGGUUCUAAGAAUUUCUAUUUUUACUCUCAGUGUUCAGUAGAGGUCAUUAAAAAAAAAUCUAGCAAUUUUUUUUUCUAAAAUGAAUAUGUAAUAAGAAUGAAAAACAAAAAGCACUAUAAUGUUUUUAAUUAAUGAAAUGCCUUUACGAACCAAGGUGCCAUCUUGGAGAAGCUAGGCAUUAUGAGGAGCUAUCAGGAGCACAUUUGCUAACAGCUUGGCAUGAGCAGGAUUUUCUUGACCAACUGGCAAGAUGGGGCUGCUCAGCUCCUGCUGGCAGAUUUUUAUGGAGCAUAGUUUUACAAAUUCAGCCUACAACUCUGAUACGUUCCAAUGUAUUUUAAACAUCUAUUCAGUUGCAACUCUAAUCCCAGGAACCUGUGGCUAACAGAAGGCAGAUUUAACUGACUAGCAGCUGUGGGAUUUUCAAAGUCUAAACUGAAAUGAACAUGCGAAACAGUUGGACUACCCCAAAAGCUGAAUUACAAUUCCAGCACUCACCAGCUCUGAAACCUCACUUGGUUACCUAACGCCUCUGUGCCUCAGUUCCCCAGCUAUAAAAUGGAAAAGGCAACAAUACCAACCUUGUAGAUUAUGUUUUGGAUUAAAUGAGGCAACACAUACACAGCACUUAGAACGUGCAAGGCACAAUGGAAGCAUGCAGUGAACAUGACUUGUAAUGAUGCUGACUGUCAUAACUCUCAUCCAUAGGGAUGCUGCCUCUGCUUGUCACCCUUGACCUAUAUAUUUUCAGGCAGUCCUCACCCAGUCCCCAUUUGUGUGUUCUAGAUAGAAAAGGCCCCAUACUAUGAAAUGACUACUGUCCUUCUGCAUGAAGCCUGGUGAACCUGAUAAUGUAGCCUUCAAGUUCCCUUACUGAGCCUUGAGCUCCCUUCAAAGUAUCCAAGCCAACCCUGUCUUGGGAAACUCACCUAGAUAAUGCCCUGAACCCCAAUAAAGGCUCCAGCCCACAGGUCCCUCCCUCUCUCUUGGUCCCCACCCUUUGGCUGGGCAUGUGUGUCCUCAAUGUCUCCAAGCCCUUCCAGUAAGCCCUGCAAGGUGUGCUGGCCACUGUUCUCUGGAAUCUGUGAGUAAUAAACAAUCUUUUUGCCAUUCUGCUCUAAGUGUCCCUCACCAUGCUGCAUCUGACUACACAAAACCUAAUUUAAAUACCUCACUUAACAAACCACAACACCAACCAAGAGCUGAACCUUUUAAAGAUUCACAUUAUUCUACUAGAAACAAAAGUCCCUUUGAGGUUUGAUAUCUGCUGAAUAAUAUACAAUCACUUGUUCUUUAACCUGCUACCAAACUUUAAGGACAUUUGUAACUGAAUUGUGUAAAAAUAGGUCAAAAGGGUUUUGUAAGUGAUAUCCCAAUUUGAGUGAAUAUCAACUGCAGAGGGAGUUGAAUCAGUCAACUGCAGAGCUACACUCUUGAU